AAAGGGAGACCUAAUUCGGGUAUGGGACGAAAAAAAAGUAGUCGCUACCAAGAAUCAAUCCCAAAAGGUCGGAACGAGGUAUGUGGCUUUCAAACUAGGUUCUGGGUUCAUAAAAGACCUGAAUCAGGAACAAGGGCUAUUAGCUCAGGUGGUUAGAGCGCACCCCUGAUAAGGGUGAGGUCCCUGGUUCGAGUCCAGGAUGGCCCACCUGCACAGGUGGUAAAAACAAAGAAAAGAAGCGAGGAAUCAGCACCUUAUCUUACUUAUAUAGUAAGAGAGAAUGCUGGCUCUGAGUAAAGAGUCCAGAGGAACCUUGAAAACUGCAUAGAGCUAGGUGAAAAAGCCAAAAACGAAGACCGCAAG
rnacentral:tRNA from 1 species